UACGUAGGGGGCGAGCGUUGUCCGGAAUUAUUGGGCGUAAAGCGCGCGCAGGCGGUUUUUUAAGUUCGUGGUGUAAGACCGGGGCUCAACCCCGGAGCGUCCGCGAAGACUGGAAGACUGGAGUGUCGGAGAGGAGUGCGGAAUACCUGGUGUAGCGGUGGAAUGCGUAGAGAUCAGGUGGAACACCGAUGGCGAAGGCAGCACUCUGGCCGAAUACUGACGCUGAGGCGCGAAAGCGUGGGGAGCGAACGGG
rnacentral:rRNA from 1 species